CUGUUGUUGGUACCAGUUGGGUGUGUAGAAGAUAUAUGUCAAAUGUUACAAAGACCUCAUUUUCAUACGAUCGUUGAUUAAGAUAUAUUUUUCAGAAGAGAGAAAUAAAUGUGAAAAAAAAAAAAAAAAAAAAAAGCAUCCAAACUAGUUCUCGAAGUUUUGUUUAAAAAAGACAAUUCUCGUACAGAUUGCAGCAGUAGAGAUUGACUGUACCCUCUUUUGAAUUUAAUUAAAACAAUACAAAAUACAUUUUUCCUGAAUGUAUUACAUGAGAUAAUUGCUUGAUUAGACCAAUCUUUGUUAAUCGUCAAAGUAUACAUUUAUAUCAUCGGUUCUUUUGAGUGGAAUUAAUUGUUGUGGGGCAUCUUUAAGUUGUGAAUUUGUGUAAUUAGAC